AGAGUUUGAUCAUGGCUCAGAACGAACGCUGGCGGCGUGGAUAAGACAUGCAAGUCGAACGAGAUUUUUUCCUGUAGCAAUACAGGGAAAAGUCUAGUGGCGAACGGGUGCGUAACACGUGGGCAAUCUGCCUUAAAGUGGGGGAUAGCUCGGCGAAAGCCGAAUUAAUACCGCAUGUGAUCAGGGGAGACAUCUUCCCGAAAUCAAAAGUGGCGCAAGCUACUGCUUUUUGAGGAGCCCGCGGCCUAUCAGCUAGUUGGUGAGAUAACGGCUCACCAAGGCUUUGACGGGUAGCUGGUCUGAGAGGACGACCAGUCACACUGGAACUGAGACACGGUCCAGACACCUACGGGUGGCAGCAGUCGAGAAUUUUUCUCAAUGGGGGAAACCCUGAAGGAGCGACGCCGCGUGGAGGAUGAAGGUCUUCGGGUUGUAAACUCCUGUCAUUUGGGAACAAGUCGUACGUAGUAACUAUACGUGCGUUGAUAGUACCAGAAGAGGAAGGGACGGCUAACUCUGUGCCAGCAGCCGCGGUAAUACAGAGGUCCCAAGCGUUGUUCGGAUUCAUUGGGCGUAAAGGGUGUGUAGGUGGCGCCGUAAGUCGGGUGUGAAAUUUCGGAGCUUAACUCCGAAACUGCAUUCGAUACUGCGGUGCUUGAGGACUGGAGAGGAGACUGGAAUUCAUGGUGUAGCAGUGAAAUGCGUAGAGAUCAUGAGGAAGACCAGUGGCGAAGGCGGGUCUCUGGACAGUUCCUGACACUGAGACACGAAGGCCAGGGGAGCAAACGGGAUUAGAUACCCCCGUAGUCC
rnacentral:rRNA from 1 species